AAGCUGCCCGUCUGGGCCAGCUGCCGCAUGCGGUGCAGCUGCCUCUUCAUCAUCUUGGGGGCGGGCUGGGGGCUGCGGGGUCACGGCGGGGGUCGCGGGCCGGGGCAGCCCCCGGCCCAGCCUGCCUCUCCUGCGGCGCGGCUCUCGCCCCGGAUGGGUGGGCGGCGCUCUCGCUUCCUGGGCCGCCGCGCUGCUCUCGCUGGCGGCCGGCUCUCUCCUCCCCCGCUCACGACUCCGCCCCCGGCCCCCAGGUCACUCCUCUCUCCAAGUUGGUUUCCUGGCUCUCCCCCGGCUUCCGGGCCCCCCGGCGACCCCCGGCCGGGCCCCCGCUGCUGUGAGUCCGCCGACCGCGGCCGUCCACAGGUUGUGCCCCGCUCCUCCUCCCCGCAGCGCCCCGCCCAGCCCUGGUGGCGGGAAGCAGGCCACUCCAAAGCUGCUGUGCACAGACAACAGAUAUCAGGACUUCCAUCUUCACUUGUCAUCUGGCAGCGGAGAGCAGGGUUAGGCUGCAGGAAGAAGAGUUUCCUCUCCUCAUGCAUCCAGGCAAGCAGAGAGCAGCUCUGUGCCCACCACUGGUCCACUCGAGGGACGCCUGCUGCAUGACCAUGGGCUAGGCACCGUGCUGGCUAAGCCACAAUGUCUCCAAGAAUACGAGGACAGGGCUGGACUGGAGGUGACGCUGAAGACCCUGUUGGCCCUGGCACAUGCCAGUGAGGCUCACUGGUACUAUGGAGGGCUGGGGGGCCCUGUGGACGGCUCUGGAACUAGCUGCCAAUGGGAAGGAGGUAGCAGGUCACCAGCCAGCCUGACCUCUGCCUGCCCUGGAAUACUGUCCGUCAAGUUCACCCCAGAUCUGACCUAGAGAAGGCUCAGCUGCUACCUCCUGCACCAUCUCUUUGAUGAGCUUAUUGGCUGCGCGGAGGUCUUCGGGAUGGGAGCUCUUCAGCAGGCGGGCCAGCAUCUGCAGAGACAGAGGGAUGUGACCGUGAGGGCAGCACCUGGGCCAGGGGUCAGAAGACUGGAGUCACAUGAUGGCUCCCUGCUUCCUGCCUGUGGGACAUGAGUGAGUUACUUAAGCUCUCUGUGAAAUGGUGAGAAUUUAUUGACAUCUGAUAGGGUGGUCACAGGCCAGUGGAGACACUGCGUGUAAGGUGCACAUCACAGCGCCUGGCAGAAAUAAGUAAUCAACAAAUGCUGCUCCUUGGCUGAGAACCUUUCUGGGACAAUGUACGAGAGCCUUGGCAUAGAUACCCUCCAGCGCUAGGGCUGGGACUGGGGAGAGGGGAGCUUUAACUUUAACCUCUUUAUUUUAAUCUUAUCUCCUCCUGGGCUAUUUAAUUUUUCACCCACAAGUUUUAAUUUUAUUAACAUUAACAAAAAAUUAGUAAAAUUCUUAUUGAAAAGGUCAAAAUACGUAGAGAUAUGUAAACUCCUGAUCAACCUAUGAAAUGCCCUCAAACAAACUCCAGGGACACCAGACACACUAUUUAUUAAAUGUGGGGAUGCUGUAUGGGACACACUCAGCACACAUCAAGUGCCCAGUAAACAGCGCCCAUCAUCCACAACGACACCUGGGCUCAGUGUGUGCCUCUGUUCCAACGGCGGAUGCCAGAGCAGCUAGGGGCCAGAAUCCACGGACCCCCACCUGGGCUUGGAGUCCCCAGUGUGCCUCCUUGGAGUCUCACCUUGGAUUUCUCCUCAUCUUCAAAGAUCACAUUCUUGGGCCGUGGAGGAGGAAGGGGAAAGGUAGUGUCAUCUGGAAGCUUGGGGUCGGACUUCACAAUACCUGGAUUAGAUGAGUGUCAGAAAGGCUGUCAAUAUGUUCCAGGCCAAUGUCCCAGGCCAUAUGUCCCACCCAGGUAGGGAUGACAUGGGGAUGGGGGCAGGCAAGGGCAGGACAGAAGAGGGAGGUCAGUCUGUUGCCAGCAUGCUGGCUCUGGACUCUUGGUGGCCUGGGCCUGCUCCUACCUACCCCAUCAAAAUUGCCUGGGGGAGAUGGUUUGGGGACCCAUAUUUUGAGGCUACUCCCUGGAGACCACUCUUUGAGGGGAAGCUUGAUUCGAACUCACCUUCUUUCCACCCAAGCUAGCCUCAGGCAGAGCACAGAAGGCCACACUAGCUGUAUGUUCUCCAGGAGUUAAAGGACAGACCCAUGACCUUGCUGGCUCAGAAGCCCCUGAAGCUGCUGGAGCCCCAGCUCAUGGUGGGGGAGGGGAGGGCAGGCCCUGGUCACCCCCCCACCCUCUGUGUGCCUCACCCUGCUUCUUUAGCAUCUGGUAGGCCUCUGCGAUUUUCACCUCCUCGGGCAGGCCCACUGUCCAGCUGUAGAGGAGCUCCAAGAUCUUGUUUUUCACCUUCUCCGAUGUCCGAGAGCCCAGAUACUUCAGGGAUACAGUAGGGAGGCCUUUGAUACUGCCUGGCCCCACUCACUUCAGCCUCAAGCCCUGUCCACACCCGACUGCCUCCCCAGGACUCCCCGGGAAGCCCUCUGGCCUACAGGGUCCUCACAGCCCCACUCAACCAGCCUGGGGUAGACUGAGUUCACCUACUACCCCUGCCACUUAUUAGCUGGGUCAGCCCUCAGUGUCUGUUUCCCCACCUGCUGGGUGGCACCAUAGUGAGGAUGCAGAACUGACAUGAGGGACAGGCCUGCUCACCAUUGGCUCUGGGGACUUAGCCUUGACAUCCCAGGAAGGAGGAGCCAGAGGCCUCCAGGCUGCCCAGGGACGGGUGAGGGUGGAACUGGGAGGCCCUGGGCCUACUCCCCAUUUCCUACCAGCAAACUGGGCUGGGGAAAGUGGCUCUCACACCAAAGUCCCCUCUUGGGAGGAGAAUGGGAGGCCAUAUGGGUCAUUCAGUAGCUCUGGUCAAAGGAUGGGUCUGAGCAAAGAAGGGCCAAGGGGGUGGGCUGUCACUCAAACAGCUUAAGAAAUGUUCACAGUAGGCCGGAGGCAGUGGCUCAUGUCUGUAAUCCCAGCACUUUGGGACGCCAACGCGGGUGGAUUAUGAGGUCAGGAGUUCAAGA